GGCCCGGAAGAUUCCCACUGGCCAGGGCCCUUGGUCCUACCUGGUUGCGGCUUCCGGUUACUUAUGUUGGCCCUCUUGUCUCUUGGAUGCCUCACUUUGUCGGAGGGAAGAUGCCAAGUUCUGAGCAACCCUAUGGAGAAACUGCUUCUAUAGCAGCCAAAUAAAUGAGCAGAGAUGGAGUCUCCACCCCACCCGCCUCCCAGCUGACCUCUUGAUUGCAGCUUCACAAGAGAUCCUGAAUCAGAACCAUCCAGGAAUAUAUCCAAAAGAAUUUGGAGCAAGAUCUGCCUGUCCAUGGCAGUAUUGACAGUACCCAAGAGGUGGAAACAACCCAAAUGUCUAUCAAGUGAUGAACUGAUAAAUAAAACAUGGUAUAUACAUACAGUGGAAUAUUAUUCUGUCUUAAAAAGAGGAAAUUUUGGUGCUUACUACAUGAACAGGAACCUUGAGAAGAUUAUGCUAAGUGAAAUAAGCUAGUCCUACAAAUACUGUAUAAUUCUACAUAAAUAGGGUAUGAUUUUUGAAUUGAAUUAAUGGAGAGAGAAAGUAGAAUGGUGGUUAUCAAUGACUCAGAAGCAGAAGAGAGGCAACUUGUUGUUUCAAGGCAUAGAGUGUCAGUUUUGCGAGAUGGGAAAGUUCUGGAGAUCUGUAUCACAACAAUGUGAAAGUACUUAAUGAUGCCAAAAACUUCAAAAUGAUGAAAAUGACAAAUUUUAUUUCAUGUGCAUUUAUCACAUUUAAAAAAAUCAAUAAAGGCUUGAACAACAUCAUCAACCAGACUGGACAUUUGUAGAAAACUCUAACUGAAAAACUAAAAAUAUGUAUAUUCUUUGCCAAAGCACAUGGGAUAGAUUAUAAAAGGAACCACAAAACAAGACUCAACUUUGAAGACUGAAAUCUUAUAAAAUAUGUUGUCUGGUCAUGUUUGAAUUAAAAUGGAGAUCCACAACAGAAACCAACCUCAGGAAACCCCAAAUAUUAUAAAUUAACAUAUUUCUAAGUAACCUAUGAAUAAACAACAAAUGACAAGAGAAGCUAAAAAUAUUGUAAACAAAAUUAAAGCAAAAGCGCAACAUAAGAAAAUGUGUGGGAUGUAGCUACAGCAGUGUGUGGAAGGGGGUUACAGCUGCAGAUGCCUAUGUUUGUGACAGAAGAAAGGUCUCAAAAAACCAAGGCUCCCACUUCAAGAAAAUUGAAAAAGAACUAAGAAAACCGAGUCCACCAACAUUAAAAGAUCAAAGGCCACAACAAUGUGAAAUUUGUCCCAGGAAUGCAAAGUUGGUUUAACAUCCAAAAGUAAAUUGAUGUAACAGUGAAAUACAGGACACACCUUUGUAUAUAGUUCUUUCAGUGGACACUUUAUAUACAUAUGAAGACUCUGAAACAGGUGAAAUUAGUGAAAGAAAGUUGAAUCCUUGGAGCAUGGACUGGACUGGGCACUCAAUUCUGUUGAAUGGAAUAAAGCAGAAAUCAUGAUGUGUGACUUUGGAGGUGAGGAUGUGAAAGGCACUGUGGCUUCCCUCUUUGCUGUCUUAGGC